ACUAUGCAGCCCUGGCUGGUCUUGAAUUUAUUAUGUAGACCAGACUGGGCUUGAACUCACAGAAAACCCCCUGCUUCUGUUGCCUGAGGGCUGGGAUUAAAGGAGUGUACCACCACACCUGACCCUACUUAGUGUAUUGAUAGAUGGAGUUUUUUCCUCUCGGUGAGACGAAGGCCAAAGAAGACAGACCUUAACUGCACGCAGGAAAGACUGGAAGCGCCUAGGUAAAUCAGCGCAGCUGCACAGGCCUUCGUGGGAAUCACGGAGCCACCUGCAUCCCCAAUUACACGUUAAUUAGGUUUCUGCCUGUCGAGCUGGGAGAGCCAGCCUCCCCAAAUGAAUGCUUUCCCAUUGUUUUCCUGCAGAACUCGCUCUGAAAACUGAACCUAGGACCCUGCACAUGCUAAGCAAGUGCUAUCCUGCAGAGCUUCAGUCCCCCUGAUUGUCUAUUCCUGAAGGGUAACUCAGAUCAAGCUAUGAGGAAUGUAUGAUGAAAAAAACAAAAAAAAAGAUGAACUUCUCAUUCUUUUAACUCGUACAGAAAGAGUGGGUGGUGUGAAACCUUUGUAUAAGAACAGAAUUAUAAUGCCAUUUUUUUUUUUGUCUAUAAAACCCUGCUCUC